AGCAGCCGCGGUAAUUCCAGCUCCAAUAGCGUAUAUUAAAGUUGUUGCAGUUAAAAAGCUCGUAGUUGAAUUUCGGGAUCAAAUUGUUGGUCGUGCUUCGGUACGCACUGGCAUUAUUGGUUCCUACCUUCUGAAGAACCGCGAUGUCAUUAAUUUGGUGUCGUGGGGAAUCAGGACUGUUACUUUGAAAAAUUAGAGUGUUUAAAGCAGGCGUACGCUUGAAUACAUUAGCAUGGAAUAAUGAAAUAGGACGUUUGAUUCUAUUUUGUUGGUUUCUAGGAUCGACGUAAUGAUUAAUAGGGAUAGUUGGGGGCAUUAGUAUUCAAUUGUCAGAGGUGAAAUUCUUGGAUUUAUUGAAGACUAACUACUGCGAAAGCAUUUGCCAAGGAUGUUUUCAUUAAUCAAGAACGAAAGUUAGGGGAUCGAAGACGAUCAGAUACCGUCGUAGUCUUAACCAUAAACUAUAGCCGACUAGGGAUCGGAUGAUGUUAAUUUUUAAUGACUCAUUCGGCGCCUUACG
rnacentral:rRNA from 1 species